rnacentral:ncRNA from 1 species
CGACCCGGUCGCCCACGGCACCAACCCCUUAAAUGGCCCUGGGAAACCACCCCGCCAAGCCGACGGCCUCGUCACCCGUACGAGCGAACCCCGCCAAUCGGACUGGCACCGACGCCAGUUGACCGGCAUAGGCUCCGCACAGCAGACGACCGCCCACGACGACAACAACAACCGCACACAUGCAACGGCCCCCGGCCGGGACGGCAAUCCCGAUCGAGGGCCUGACCAUCAAGGAAGUCGGACCCUUCCCA